CACACACACACACAAACAAAGAGGCGUUAGGCUGAGACGCUGAAAGUCCGGAUUUAAAGUGCAGAAAAUUAAGCCAUUGAAUCUGCCUGUCCAUUACGUACAAACACACACUAUGAGCCAGUAUGAUCCGACCAGACCUUACAUCAGCAUUGAGGAGUUGUCGGAGAAGAAAGAGGCUGAUUGAAGCGGGACAGAUGACAUGGAUCCAUCCUUCCACAGCCAGGAC